rnacentral:rRNA from 1 species
CAAAGCAGUAAUGCGCUUUGGGAGGGGCCUGCGUCCGAUUAGCUCGUUGGUGGGGUAAUGGCUCACCAAGGCGACGAUCGGUAGGUGGUCUGAGAGGACGAUCACCCAGACUGGGACUGAGACACGGCCCAGACUCCUACGGGAGGCAGCAGUCGGGAAUUUUGCUCAAUGGGAGAAAGCCUGAAGCAGCAACGCCGCGUGAGGGAUGAAGGCCUUCGGGUUGUAAACCUCUUUUCCCCAGGGAAGAUUAUGACGGUACCUGGGGAAUAA